rnacentral:lncRNA from 1 species
CUCCAGUAAGCAGUGACCAUAUCCUCAAGCCACCCUAAAAACAUAGCCCUCAUGGUCCAUCCUGCCACUCCUGGACACGAGGAAGGGGCUUUUCUGGCUGCCGUCCAUCCCCCAGCUCCUGGCAUAGAGGUUAGAAGUUCUCUAGGAGCUAGGAUCCCAGAUUCCUAUAUCCCAUACCCCAUCAAAUGAGCCAAGGUUCAUCUGUCCUUGAGUAAAAUGGCCUGAUGAACAUGUGAAGACACUGAGAAGUUGAGAAGAAGCCUAGACUCAUGGAAAAGCCAGGAUGAUCACUGCCCUGCUGCAGAAACAGACCUCUGUUUAGAUUUUAAAGGAUUCCAAAGUGUUUUGGCUUGGCUUUGGGCAAUAUGGUCUGAUACAUUCAUGAGAAGAAUUCUCUGCUACUAUGGCAAAGCUCAGGUAUGCAAGGCAUCACAAGAACCAGAGAGAAAGCAAGGGAUGAUAUAACACUGAGGAUGAGAAGUGUGCACUACCUUGCAUUAGUUUCCAUUCUGAUGGUCAAUGUGUGCUAGAAGGAGGAGAGAACCAAGGACAGAAAUUUGAGCUGGGGACUCACCUUACAUACCUGCCAGCUGUAAGACCAGAAUGGCUCCUCCCUCUAUCUUCUGUCUGCUGACUUCCUCCACAACCAAAUGUCACCUUCAAAAUUCUUUAUGACCCUGGAAGUUGUCUGGAAAAAGUGUCCACUAGGCAAAACACAUGCUGCUCGGGGAUAGGAUUCUCCAUCCUAGAACAACAUACUGCAGUCUAUUAACAC